UGUAGUCCUAACUACACGUGCGUGUUAGCAAGAUUAUUUCUGUAUCGCUUUGCGAGUUUUCAUUCAUUGUGCGAGAAACGGGAAAAAACUUCAAACAGUUCGGCCGCAGGGUGCGGCCGGAGGCGUAGGCCUUGUUGGUAUUUUAAUUUCAGGAAAUGCAUAUAAAGUCCGGAAAAUAACGAAAACCAUUGUGUCACUGUCGCGUGCUCUCACGAUCGCAUGGAAAAAUUUGGUAAUCCUUCUUACUGAAUCCUUAUCCUGCCCUCUCUACUCGGGAACAAUUCAUUCUUAACAAGUACCGGCCGAGGACCAAAAAACAACCCGACCUUGCGGGUCUGUAACAGUUAUAAUGGUACACAAGUUUUGGUGCUCGCACCUUCCAUACCGGAGCAUCUCACAAGAAGCAUUGUAGUUUCUAAAAGGAGAUGCGGCACUUCGGACUACAAACCGUCAGUUACUAGCUACAUCGUUCCGACCCAUUUUAGGUCUUCUGCUAUGUUUAAGUCAUUCUUUGCACUUACCUUGCAUUGCAUUUUAGUGCAUAUAAUUAAUUAAAGUCAGCCCAUUUCAGGUCGUCUCUUAUGUUUAAGUCAUUCUUUACACUUACCUUGCAUUGCAUUUUAGUGCAUAUAAUUAAUUAAAGUCAAAAACCCUACUACAACUACAUGUGGUGUUUUAGUUAGGCUAUAUAUUCAUAGUGGAAAGUGUUAUAUAUUAAUAUCAUGCAUAUAUAUAUAGGGUACCACUAUUCUAAUCGUAGGAUCGGAAUAACUAUUUGAAUCACGUCAGGCCUAUAUAGAGCCCGAUUGGAUGUUUUUGAAUCUGGAAACGCAGCCCACUCCGAACCGGUAGAGAAAAAAGAAAAUUCAAGCACCCCUCAUCCUCGACCUCCCAACCCCCGGAUCCCCACGCCCGCCGCCGACCUCCAGGAUCCGUCCGCCACCGCGCGUGCCGCCGGCCUUCGAGGUCUAGCCGCCACCCGCGCGCCGCCGGCCUCCGGGCUCCCACCGCGACCCCGCGCGACGCCGGCCUCCGGGAUCCCACCGCCACCCCGCGCGACGCCGACCUUCGGGAUUCUGCAGCCACCCCGCACGCUGCCGGCCUUCGGGAUUCCGCAGCCACCCCGCGCACCACCGGCCGCCGGGACCCCGCCUCCACCACGCGCGUCGCACUGCGUCGCAACCAUUAACCGUUGAUGCGCCAUGGGAAGCCCCUGCACUGCUCGCCCUUCCUCACAUGUGCCAUGGUUGCAACUUCCCUAGCAGAUGCGGCCGGUGUGCCAUUUGCACCGCCGAUGCGACCUACGCCGUCCACAAUUCGUCCUCAUCCAUUCUUCACGGGCAGUCCAUCGGCUCGCUCGCUAGCACAUGUGGGCAGCCAUCUCUCCUCGCUGUUAUGUUUCUCAUCGCGAUUGUCGUCAGUCCAUCUGCAUCAAAGGCAAUCCUACCGCAGCAGAUGUGUUCGAGGCCGGCUACCUCCUCAGCAUCGAGGUCUCCCACCAAGCCGAGCAUGCCACUGCUCCAUCCUUCGUGAAGAUGUAGCAGGUCGGGCUAUGAAGCAAGAGAAGGUCGGACUGCAAAGAAGUUGAAGGUCGAGAUUCGUGCUCCUCCGUUGGGGAUGCAGACCAGCGCCUCAUGGAACAAGGGCCUCCUCUGCCUGUUGAGCCACCUGUGCGCCGCAACAUCAUUCCACUGCACGCCCACCUUGCGUGCCAAGUAGAAGUUCAGUUUCGCUUGCAAGGAUGAUGGCAAGAUUUGUCUGUCAAAACAUAAAAACGGGAGCUUGGAGAACCACCUCAUCAGAAGCUAAUUUUUCAGUAGUCGACCUUUUCUACUGAAUAUCACCUUUUUUGGUCGAGCUGCCCUUUGUUUUAUGUCGACUUGGUCCGCAAAGUAGUGCAUCUUGUAGAUGUUGGCGAACAUCACAUAUUUUAUAUUAAGAACCAUAGUUUGUAGUGAUGUACAACUAACGAAACUAGCACAUAUUAUAUUUAA